rnacentral:lncRNA from 1 species
CCAUCUUCUCUUAUUCUUCACAUCCUAUCUCCAAAUGCCAUCUCAGAGGAAUCACCAAAGAUAUUUCCAUUGGCACCAUUCUCAUCGCCACCAUCACCAUCAUUCUUGACGACACUUUCACCAUUCUCCUCAAUAAAAACUUCAUUUCUGCUCUUCAGUCAUUAUCCAAAUUCAGAUGAUCAAUCCACAUCAUCAUAUCACUAUAUCAUC